AAUUGAAUCCUGCUGGUAGAGGAGCAGGCAAAGCAGGCCGAAGCUUUGAGAUAGAGCCACAGAUCUACUGCACAUUUGGUGAAGUCAGCUCAUCGCAGCAGUGGGGUUAUAAAGUGAUCAGCAUCAGCAGAAAGCCAGUCCUCAGCUGCUGGCUGCAGUGGAAACUCGGGCUGAGCCACAGACAAAACAUGUUGGAAAGUUGCCGGACAAGGAGAAAAUCUUGCAGCGUGUGUCAAGAAUCGAGAAACCCAGAAGCAGAAGUGUUUGGCCUGUAGACGGCUUUAAAAAUACCCAGCCCACUGGGCCCGGUUUCUGAGGUUCCUGUUUAGAGCUGCAGGUUUCACUAUGAAACAGGAGGAAAUGGAGAAACCAGCCGACGCUUCUUCUGAGACUUGGACUUGUUUGCAGGGUUUGAGAAAUUGAACCAGGUCCCAACGCUGCUGUCGGAGCCACUGAAGCAGACAGAGAACGGUGGAGUCGGAGCUCAGCAGGGCCGGGACCACAAACUGGGCCAAACACAUGUCAUACGACUCGGCAUAAGGCUGAACUGGAAAAUCAACAAAAGGGCAGGCGGGGAUCCACAGACGGAUGCAGAAUCACAGCCCACUCCAGCUACUUGCUAGGGGUCUCUCCAUCAAAACAACAACAGAGGAUCGGGUUUGAUGACGUCAUGAGGCAGUGUGGGAUCAUGGGAACUGUUGUCUUCACCUCCAUUGCUGAUGAAAUCUACCAGAUGUGACUCACACACAAAUCAUGUUCAUGAUCUGGAAACGUCUCCAGGAAAAGGAUGAGGCCCACGCCUUUGGCAACAGAAUCCCUCUCACUCGCUUCACACACAUGAAGCCUCAUCUGUUGAUCCAGAAAUGUGUUGUGGGAAAAUGAAUGCACCUGAAAAAAGGAAAUGGUUAAGAAGAACUGGGAUAAAUGAGCCCAGUCACUUCAGAUCUCCAGCAAAGCUUCAGCAGA